rnacentral:lncRNA from 1 species
CUAGGUCUGCCGCCGCCACCGGAUCGCAGGUCCUCCACCCAUCCCAACCCCGCCCGUUCUCUCCACGCCAAUGGAAAUCCUUGCCCAAUCGCGGACUGCUGUUCGUCUCGCCAACGGGGAAGAAAGGUAGUCGUUACUCGCACAUGCUGGUCGACUGAUAGAUUAGGGGUGGAGACCAACUACAAGCAGUCAUGUGGGUGUUCUGCAGUUCAUAAAAAUAUAACCGGUAUUUUACUGUUGCACUGCACAUUCUCCAACUCCUUGUUAUUUGUGCAGAUCGAAUUCUUAUUCAAGACUUGGAACAACUGGUAGACUCUGCUCAGUUCUUUUCUGCACUAAUGUGAGGAUGAUGAUGGGUUCUGCAUGAAACAAAGUUUAAUUGGUGUUCAGCAUAGUUCUGGUCAAAUGAUCCAGGCGAAUAUUUUGGCUGGUUCUCAUAUUUUGGUUCAGGGAAUUUUUCAAUCUACAAUGGCUACUAGCUAGGUAAUUAGUUUCCAUGAACUGCCAUACCUCAUAUCUCCAUGUUUUCAAAUUGUGCUAACUGAUCAAGAACCUAAUUACGAGGUUUUGCAAUUGUUAUCUCCCCUGAAUUUAUAUUUCUCCAUUACAAGAUUGCAACUUUUUUCAAGUACUGGUACAAGAUGGAAACACCUCCGCUUUAUCUUUCUUCUUGCAAGCACUCUGAUGAAACCCUAGCCAUGGUCUAGCGGCGCUGCCGCCCUUGCAAUGCUCGUCUGCACCAUUGCAACAGUCGUAUCGAUGAUCCCAAGAUUAACAAGUGCAUGCCUUUAGCAUUCCUGCAAUGAUUAUAUUUUCGUUAGGGGACUGACAACCUCUCUUUCUUAUCUUCAUUUAGUGGUUGAAAGAUUGUCUACCAAAUAUGUGUGCUGCAAUGAUUAUCUUCAUUCAGUGGUUAAAAGAUCGUACAUCUCGGCCGUCAAUUGAGGUUUUGACCGAGCAAUGACAGCUGUUUGAUCCCAUGAGGGGUUGCUAGAUGCGCGCUAGUUAACUGAAGAUUGACACUUUUCAGGUUCAGAUAGAUGGAGCCUGACACUCUCUGCUCUCAAGAACCACUUCGGUGCCGCCACACCCGGCAGCGACAAGUUUGGUGGCCUCUUCUCCACC